rnacentral:tRNA from 1 species
UUGGGCGUUCCGCAAAAAAAGCGUGUGACUACAUGUCCCAGCGACGGUUUUUGGUACCGGCAUUCGCAGGUUCGAAUCCUGCCGCCCCAGCCA